UUUUAAAUAAGUAGCUACCACGUUUUUUAGCACAAAUAUUUAGUUUAAUCGAUUAUCUACGUAAAACAAUGUCUGAGCAAUUAAUUCGGAAACCUCGUAGGAAAUCCAGGUGGUUAUUUAUUUGUUUUUUUUUUUUUUUUUUGAAAUGUGUUUAAUCACCAUUCGUAAGGAUACUACUAAAUCGACGUACUUAAUUGAUGUUAUGUUAUACGCACAUCGCAUCUCAGUUCAUGAUGUGUACAUAAUAAUAUUACGGAUAACACGCGAAAUCCCUCGGGGACGAUAAAUUCGUUUAUACCACACCAGCA